rnacentral:rRNA from 1 species
GACGAACGCUGGCGGCGUGCCUAACACAUGCAAGUCGAGCGGAACGGGAAGAAGUGGUAGCGAUAUCACGGACAUCUGUUUAGCGGCGAACGGGUGAGUAACACGUGGGCAAUCUGCCCUCCGGGUCGGGAUAACAGACCGAAAGGCCUGCUAAUACCGAAUGAGGCGGCGAUCUCGCAUGAGGAUGCCGUCAAAGGGGAAACCCGCCGGGGGAGGAGCCCGCGUCCCAUUAGCUAGUUGGUGAUGUAAAGGACCACCAAGGCGAUGAUGGGUAGCCGGCCUGAGAGGGUGAACGGCCACAUUGGGACUGAGACACGGCCCAGACUCCUACGGGUGGCUG